rnacentral:rRNA from 1 species
GAUGAACGCUGGCGGCGUGCUUAACACAUGCAAGUCGAACGAUGAAGCUGGAGCUUGCUCCGGUGGAUUAGUGGCGAACGGGUGAGUAACACGUGAGCAAUCUGCCCUUGACUCUGGGAUAACUGCGGGAAACUGUAGCUAAUACCGGAUACGACGCCUUGGGGCAUCCCACGGGCGUGGAAAGAAUUUCGGUCAAGGAUGAGCUCGCGGCCUAUCAGCUUGUUGGUGAGGUAGUGGCUCACCAAGGCGACGACGGGUAGCCGGCCUGAGAGGGUGACCGGCCACACUGGGACUGAGACACGGCCCAGACUCCUACGGGAGGCAGCAGUGGGGAAUAUUGCGCAAUGGGCGAAAGCCUGACGCAGCAACGCCGCGUGAGGGAUGAAGGCCUUCGGGUUGUAAACCUCUUUUAGCAGGGAAGAAGCGAAAGUGACGGUACCUGCAGAAAAAGCACCGGCUAACUACGUG